GCUCCCGUGGCGCAAUGGUAGCGCGCAAGACUUCUACUCAGAUUUUCUGGGCCGUUAAACGGUGCAGAAGAUGUAUAUAAUCUUGAGGCUGCGGGUUCGAGCCCCGCCGGGAGCU